UACAAGCUCUGGCAGCAGACCUCUCUAGAUUGCAGGUUAGGGUGACAAAGUGGUGCUUCUGUACCCCUCAGAAGAAAAUUGCCCACUACUUUCACCCAUUGUUUUUUCUUAGUUGCAGUAGUUAUUACGCGACAGGGAGCAGGUCUGGCUGCCUUACAUAGUUCAGAUGACUUACCUGUUAUUGUUUCCUUUUCCUUCUCAGGCUGGAGAACUGCAGAGGCACCUCUUAGAGUGCCUAAAUCCUGCAGAGGCUUAGAGGCAGGCUUUUUCCCCGUGUUGUUUUUUCUCAUGGCAGCUUGCCAUUUCUCAUCACUGUUUCCCCUCCAACUGGAUAUGCCAGUUGGGGGAGUUUAGGGUUAUUUGGGCCUAUACUGUGUAUUCAAUGCAGAUUGCACGUAAAUCUGGCUAACUGUCUCAAUCCCUGCCUCCCAUAUAGCACACAGCCUUUUCACUGUCUCCUGCAGGGUCAGUCAACUGUUGCAGGAGGUCUUCCACCUGGGCACACCUUACGCAGGCAAGUUUGCCACUCACCUCUGCUCCAGCUGAAAGGUGCAGGCACUUCCCACAUACCAUGGUCUGCAAAGAUACAUCUUUAUUUAGAAGCUCAGUCUGAGUGGAGGCACUGAUGAUGACUGGGGUAGGUGGUACACACUCCCCUGCCAGAGCUGCAGCCUUAGCUUGGCAUUGUACAUGCACCAUUCUGCUUUGAAGGUCACUUGGAAUGAGUGCCUCCUUGCUUCUGAAGCCAGUAAAACUGUAGUGCCCUGCCAUGCAUGCUACAGCUCCACCUGUUACAGCACACAACCAGUGUACAAGUGACACCUGUGCUCUGUUCGCCCACCCUGUACUUGGUGGGCAACAACUUGUCAGUGCUUUCCCUGAGGAAAAGAACAUGGUAUGGCCUCUGUUGCCUUGGCAACACCCACCUCUGUCAUAAGAGCACAUUGCUGGAGGGUUGUUCCGCUGUCUCGGUGUUUCCCUGGCAAAGGAAACCCCCAGGCCCCCUCCUACCUUGAGAUCCGUUGCUCUGGUUCUGGUUGGGCCGGCUCUGAAGCAGCUGCCCUUGAUGACUUAGUUCUGGGUUUCAGCCAUUUAAAUCUCCUGCUAUGUCAGCCACUCUUGCGAGAGCUGCCCAUUGCUGGAGGGUCCCUCCACUGUCUCGGCAUUGCUGCAGUUUCAUGUUCAUGUUAAGCUGUCACUGAAACCUAACUUGACAAAAUGAUUUCUUCUAACCUGGGUAGUGAUUGCUGUGGCUAUAAUAUUUUCUGGUUCUUAAGUUCUUCUGCUGUACCUGCCUUUCUGGAUUAGAAACUGACAACCAUCUGAGGAGCUGCAGGAAUUCCACUGUUGACAACAGAAACUCAGCUGGAUGGAACCAUAUCUGUGGUCACUGAUUCAGCACUCCAUGCCAAAGGUGAAAAACAGGAGCCUUUGUGGGGAAGACUCAAAAAGAUUCCUGCUCACAACCAGUACAGGGCAGGACACGUGUGAAGAGGUGGGAAUAUAUUGUAAUGAGUUUUUGGAACUGCUUAUGCUAAUCCAGCCCCUUUCUCAGAAAUCUCAUGCAUAUGUAUAAUACUAUGCAAUAAAUAUGCAAUUGAUGAGUGUCUGGGUGUGCAAGUUAGGUGAACUGAUUCCCUUUACACCUAGUGCCAUAAUAAACAUACCUGCUUUAUAAUUUUGUGAGUUGUAGAGUUUGAUUCUGCACAUUACUACAUAGGUGAAUAUUGCUAUUCUAUGUUUGUUAUGUAAGUGAUGCAAAUAAUAUCACUAAAACUGUGAUAGCACUGAGGACAACCAGUAGGAAAUAGUUUCCGUGGAUGGAAUGUAAAAUAUACCUGAAUGGAAGUGUGGGCAACUUCAUUAUAGGGAAAUGUAAAUCCUAAGUAAAUACACUAGAACAGGAGGAUUUAAUCAUUUACACCUAUUUUUAUGUUGAUUAUAGUGAAACUGAUUUUUCUUUUAGUUCCACUAAUUGCAUAGGGAGAGCACAAGUUGAAUUUUCAAAUAUUUUGUGAAAGAGAGAAAAUGUAGAGCAAUAGAGAAGAUUUUCAUCGUUACAGUGCCUAAGGUAAAGUUUGCAGAAAACUGGCUUUCCAGUAGUAGCUAAAUGGGGGAUGGGAUUAGUGACAGUAACAGAUUGAGUAUAGCCCAGUGAUCAUCAGAAAUAUGAUGACUGCACCAGAAAUGAGACAAAUGUGAGGUGUUAAGGUAGGCUGGAGAUCGGUUUGAAAAGAUCACUGAGCCCAGACCUACCUACAAAGCUUGGAAAAAGACUGCAGGCUCCAACCAGAAAUUAAAUAGACCAUAGGAUGACAGUGUGUGGAUGGAGGUCUCACAUUAAGCUGCUUGGAGUAAUAGAGUAUGUAUGAAUAGAUCUUAGUCUUUUUUGAUAGUUUUUUCAUAGAGGGAAAAUACUUUUCUCUUGGAUUAAGCUUUAGCUACUUUCAUUUUCACCCAGUAGAGCUCUGUGUUACAAAACAAUAAAAAAAGCAUCAAAUGCUGUUCUCAUUAACAACACCCAAACAGAAUAUCUUUUGUAUAAAGUUUAUCCCAGCCUUAUUAAUUGAGGAUAAUUGUAACUUUGCCCCCCCACAAGAGGGGGGGGGGAAAAGCUUCCAUCUCUGAGCUAUACUUCAUAUUUUAUAAUUCUUGUUAUGAUUGAAGGCACUACAGAACCCGGAACCUCAAGGCACGAUGCAUCCCCACACAGCCCAAGUCAAGUGCUAUCCCUAAAAAGCUUACGAAGUAGGUGAAAAAAUGUUUGAAAGAAGUCUCACAAAAUUUAUACAGAGUGAGAGUCUGAGGACUUUGAGGAGUGCGUGGACUUUGGCUUCCUCUUGUUUGCAGAAGAAAUAUUUUUCACCUGAAGCUGAAGUCAAACAGUCACUGCAAAACACUGUCAUAGCAUGAUGUAAAAUGCUUUCUAUGGCAGCCAAAUUAGCAUGUAUUAGAGAAGACUAUAAGGUUCUAAAGAAUCAGGUUUUAUGGAUUUAAUGUUUUUUUUUGGGGGGGGGGAAGGAGGGACAGGAAAAGAGGCAGGUUUGAGGUACAGAUGGGGACACAGCUGGUGAUUGUAGCCAGUAUUUGUUAACUGAGUUACUAAAUUUUGUUUGUCUUUGUUGGCAAGAGUUACUAAAAUACUUGAUUAUGGCAUUUGAUUCCCUUCUUUGUCAAGAGGAAAACUCUAGUUAAAUCACUCUUUGAAGAGUAGUCACUGAACCAGGGAAGCUAACUUCAACAGCAGUUAAUGUUGUGUAUUUUGUCCCCUCAAGGUAAAAUUAGGGACCUUGGUAAGUCCUGGGAACUUCCUGCUGAUCAAUUUGCAAAGCCAAUAUGCCUCCUAUUUCUGUCACAAUCCUGCGACAAGGAACCUCUAAAGUCUUCUCAAAGACUCAUGCCUGUAGCCAAAUAGAAUAACUAUUUCUUUAAGUAGUGAUUCAGUUCUGUCAACAGUUUACAGACUGGUGCUGUCCAGCUCCAUGAGUAGUGGGGCAGGAGGACCCACAGAGUUAUGGCUGGGGAAAAGGUAGGGUGAUGGGCCUAAAAACAAAACUAAUUUACUAAGUAAGAUAUUGGAAUGCAAGAUAACACACUAUAGUACAA